GGAUGUGGGGGUGAUCUGGCUGCGACAUCUGUCACCCCAUUGAUCACCAUGGUUGAUUUGGCUGAUCUGGCUGACUAGGUGGGUAUCCCCUUCCUCCCUCACCACUCCACGUGUGUCCCUCCUGAAUCUGUGCACUCGGUGGAAGAGGAUGACCAUCCCCAGUAGAGUAGGACCCGUCUUCAGUCCAGGGUAUUUGAGUAGCUGCGCACUCCUGCUAGAGCCUCCAAACAAGCUCUCAGAAUGUUUUUUUUUUUUUUUGAGACGGAGUUUUGCUCUUGUUACCCAGGCUGGAGUGCAAUGGCGUGA
rnacentral:snRNA from 1 species